rnacentral:lncRNA from 1 species
GCAGACGUUACUGGCCUUUCUUCCUGACACCCUGUCCUGUCAGCUGCGGGAGUCCGAGGUGGCUGAGAUUCACUGGCCCUGUGACCCCUGAGCCAAGGAGUUUCUUAAGAGAUUGUAGGAGCCCUGGACUCAGACAAGCCUGAAGGAGACUUAGUGGACCACCUCCAGACUUGAAGCAUGUCACAACUCUACUCCCUGAUGAGAGAGCAGCGCUGUCUUUACAUUCCUGACUGGCAGGAGAGGAAACUUCCGUGUCCUGUAGGAGGGUGUACUCUCCGGAGCCAAUUGGGGCUGUGUAUUUCAACUUGAAAAAGACUGAUCGCCUGGCUGUGUGUCCACACUCAAAGACUGCACAUAACUGAGUCCUUUGCUUGGAUCUACAAGCUGAGAUCAAGGACAUGGCUGCACUCUUGUCGAAGGCUAUCAGUCACUGCCUAAGACCAUGGGGUGGACAGAAUGUGGGGCCGCAGAGCUGCAUCACCAGACUGUCUUCUCAGUCUGUCACCCGGGCUCUUCGCAGCUCCAGGAGUGUCACCACUGUAAGGCCAGCAGGAGCAUCUCCAUGGAGUUUUAGGGAAUGUGAUAAUUGAGGAUGACUGUUCCACCAUCCUGGCCAUCAUGAGUGAGCCUCAUCAAAGCUCCUCCAGGACAUGCAACACAGCGCAGAUCCUUCUGAAAUUUCCCCAGCAGCUCCUCCAGGACAUGCAACACAGCGCAGAUCCUUCACAACCUGGACUAUGACUUUCUCUCCUAUACGCGAUGGCUUGGACGCUCUGCCUCAUCAUGAAAGCUGGUCUCUGUUCAGGAUCUUUGUACACCUAUUUCUUCUGCCUAAAACUUACUUUAGGCCUUCACAUUGAGAUGUUAAAUACCUAGCUCUUUGGUAUAAUGGACCAUAGGGGACAAUUAAAUAUAUCUAAACAUCUCU